rnacentral:lncRNA from 1 species
AAACCAUAAAAAUUCAUAGAAGUAUAGCUAGGACAAGUUCUGCACCUUUUCUAGCUGAAAAUCCUAUGUUUUGAAGUUUGAAUUCAUGUCUAAUCAAGUCUUGUAGCACACCUUAUCUAAGAACUGAUCCUUUCACUUCAUAGACCAUAUUGAACUUGAGGUAAGUGUUAAGUGUAUAUUUUUACACUUAAUGGUACCUUUUAAUUGGAGCUUUUGGUGUGUUUUAAUGAUAAUUGGUGCUUAAAAUGGUUAUUAUUUGUAUUUUAGGUGCAAAUUGAAGAAUUGUCAACUUUUGGGGUGAAAACUACAAAUUCGGAGAAAAAGUGGGCCAAAAGUGAAAAAAUCAGAUUUCUGAAGAAUUGAAGACCGCGGGGCCGUGCGGAUUUCAGGCGUAAAUCUCACACGGCCGUCCGGAUGGUCGUGGUGGCGCAGUGAAGGAAGUUUAAUUACACAAGGAAACCCGCCCUAUUAUAUUUUUGCACCCUAUUUAAAGGCCAAAAGCACACAAUUAGGAAUUAUCUUUUAAUCUUUUAUUAUCUUUUAUCUUUAGUUUUUAUUAUUCAUCUUUCUACACGCAAUCAAGGAGCACAAGAACGAAGACGAAGACUUGACGACUCUUCAUCAUAGUUCUCCUCCUUUAUUGUUAUUUAUAGCUUUUAUGAUUUUUCAUCUUUUUAUUAUGCUUUUCGUAGAGAACAUGAGUAGCUAAGUUUUUAUUCUAGGAUUUUAUUGGAACCCUAUGUGGUAAUUCGAACCUCUUUUUCGACUUUUAUGCAAGUUUAAUUCUUCGAUUAUUUCUUCUAUCUUGAUCUUAUUUAGCGCAUGAACGUAGGCGCCGUUGCCGGGGAAUACGGCUAAAUUAUUCAUUUAUCCUAAUAUUAAAUUUGAGAAAUUUUUCUUACUUCAGCCAAUUUAUUUAUUUUAUUUAAUUAUUUUCUUUUAUUAUUAUUUUGUUUUAGGUACUUUUUAUGCGAAGAGGACACGACACGAACUUGCUACCUCUUGAUCCCGAAAUUGAGCGAACGUUUAGGCAAGCCAGGAGAAAUCAACGGUUAGCCCAAAACACUCCGGCAACUAUGGAAGACGAGAAUAAUCGUGGGGGAGGUGACCAAGGGCGCCUACUGAAUGCGGCAGGGGAAAUCGUUAUCGAGCAAGAGCAACGCCAGCUAAUCAAUCCACCGCCUCGUCAACGAGCACUGCAUGAGUACACCGUCCCGACACUCAAUGGGUUCCAAUCAAGCAUCCAGCAGCCCCCCAUUGAAGCCAACAAUUUCAAGAUUCGAGCGGGACUCCUCACGAUGCUCCAAAACAAUGGUCUAUUCAGCGGAUUGGCUCAUGAAGAUCCACAUCUUCACUUGGUCAACUUUCUCGAAACGUGUGACUCGCACAAGAUGAACGGAGUAACACCCGAAGCAUUGCAACUCCGCCUGUUCAAGCACUCCCUACAAGGAGCAGCCCGAGAAUGGUUGCAAACUCGUGCACCGCACUCCAUCUCGUUGUGGGCCCAGCUAGCUCAACUUUUCAUGAACACAUACAACUCCCCAACAAAAACUGAGAGAAUCCGGCGAGAAAUUCAAAACUUCAUACAAGAAGCCGGUGAAGCAUUAUUCGAGACGUGGGAGCGGUUCAAACACGUAGUAAGGAGGUGCCCGAAUCACGGACUACAAGAGUGGCGCCAACUGCAAAAAUUUUACGAUGGACUGCAAGACAACUCGAGGACAGUGCUCGACUCUGCAGCUGGAGGCAUGUUCAUGAGUUUGACUUACGACGAAGCAUACAAUCUCUUGGAGCGGAUUGCUAGAAACAAAUUCAUGCGGGCAUCGGACCGGUCGAAUAGCGGAGCAGUCAAGACUGGAGGAAUUUUGGAGUUAGACGGAGUCACUGCAAUCACGGCCCAAUUGGAGAAGCUAUCGAAGCAAGUAGCGGCUUUGCAGACUAAGCAAGUCCACGCAGUCCAAGUUCCCAACCAGCGCAUAGAAGAAACGGAGUCUCUGAAUUAUGUGCAUGACACCAACCGACAACAGAGGAACCCGUACUCCAAUACUUACAAUCCCGGAUGGAAGGAUCACCCUAACUUUGGGUGGGGAGGAAAUCAGCAAGGACAAAGGCAAGCAACACCUCAAGGUCAAACGCCAAAUCAUUCACGACCAGCUCCCGGAUUCCAAAAUCCGCCUCAAGCUCAACCUCAAGGUGUAGAUCUCGCAAAUAUCUUGGCGCAAUUCAUGACAACCACCCAAGCCUCCAUCCGGAAUUUGGAAACACAAAUGGGUCAACUUGCAACCCAGCUAACCACGAGGCCAUCGGGAGCACUGCCGUCGAAUACGAAAGAUCCUCGGAAGAACAACGUCGAGCAGUGCAACGCUGUGAGUUUAAGGAAUGGGAGACAAUUGGAGGAAGCCCCACGAAAAGAGAAGCAAAACACGGUGAUCGAGAAGCCAAGCGUGAUUGGAGAAAAAGAAGCGACUCACGAAGAACCACUAUCAUCUCCAGUGAAAUCACGAGCCCCUCCGAUUUCAUAUCCUCAGAAGCUUAUGAAGAAGAAGCUCGAUGCCGAGUAUCAAAGAUUUUUGGACAAGCUGAAGGAAAUCCAAAUAAAUAUCCCGUUUAUUGAAGCCCUUCAAAAGAUGCCAAAAUGGGUGAAGUUCCUCAAGGAUCUCGUGACGAAAAGGAAGAAAUUGCAAGGGAACGAGAUGAUCCAACUCACGGAACAAUGUAGUGCAAUUCUUACACGGCCCCUUCCACAAAAACUCGGCGAUCCAGAUAAGUUCACUAUCCCUUGUACUAUAGGAGGUAAAAAUUUUAGAUCGCUUAUUGAUUUGGGUGCUAGCAUUAAUCUUAUGCCUUAUUCCACUUAUAAAAAUCUUGGGUUAGGUGAGAUUGAACCUACGGCUAUAACUCUGCAAUUAGCCGAUAGGUCUUUGGUUUACCCAAAAGGUAUUUUAGAGAAUGUGCUAGUAAAGGUGAACAAAUUUAUCUUCCCGGUUGAUUUUGUUGUACUCGAUAUAGAUGAAGAUAGGGAGAUACCUCUUAUUUUAGGGAGACCGUUUUUAGCCACUUCGAAAACUCUAAUUGAUUGUUCUAGUGGUGAUCUUACAAUGACGGUGCAUGAUGAAACGAUCAAAUUUAAUGUUUUUUGUGCUAAUAAAAAUCCAUGUGAGAAUAAUGAGUGUUUUACUAUUGAGCUUAUGGAUUUUACAAAUCAUGAAAAUUUUGAUGUUUCAAUUUUGGACCAUGGGAAAGCAUCGUUGAGUGCAGGAGAUGACAACGGAAAAGGGAAUCGGAAGGAGCACGUUUGUUGUGCGAACUCAAUUUCAACACCUCCGAGAGAUAGUCAAAAGAGUUGGGGUGCUAACGGUGAUGAACGUGCAAGGAGGAUGUGGCCACCUAAAAAAUCAAACGAGCGUCAUCGGGGAGAGGAAUCCAAUUGCCAAGUGACUUCGGUCACGUUAGCUUAAACAAAGAAGCAGACAAAGUCCGGCUGAAGACUGUAAACUUAGCGCUUCUCGGGAGGCAACCCGAGCUUUCGUUUUUCUUUCUUUUAUUUUAUUUUUUUUAUUAUUUUUGUUUUUAUUUAUUUAGCUUGUUAGUGUUCGUUCUUAUUUUAUUUCAGCUUUGGAAAAAAAAAAAAAAAGUUUCAGGGCCACUAAUUAGAAGUUUUUAUUUUACAGGGACUUAAUUGCAAUUCUUCACACGGCCGUGCAAGAAAAAGGCAGGAAUCUCACACGGCCGUGUGAGAUUUCGGAUGAGCUACUGUCCAAAUUGGCCAAUUGAUGCGGCCGUGCGGAUUUAUGCCUACAAUCUCGCACGGCCGUCCGAAAUAUAAAGUGGCUACUGCCCAAAUUCAACAAAUGGUGCGGCCGUGCGGAUAUUAAGCCUAUAUCUCGCACGGCCGUCCGAGGGAAAAAACGGGGGCAGCUUUAAAUAGAAUUUUUCACACCCCAAGCUUCACAAAUCCAAAACCUCUCUCUCAUACUUCGAACCCUAACGUUUUCUUUUCAAAAUUUUCGAUUUUCUUUGACAAAUUUCACCAGAAAUUCACCAAUUACACACACAUAAUACUUAAACUUGGUUGUUUGUUGCUGAUUUGUGCAGGGAGGAGUCAAUAAAGGUACAAAUUUCUCCAAAAAUCCAUUCCACCACGAACGCCCACAAGGUGUUCGACGAAUUGCCCAAGUCAAGUUUGGGGGAAAUUUUGCACAUCAAUCCACUCCUAAACCCUUCCACACACAUUCUCAAGUCAUGGGGAAACGAGGACGUGACGGAGAGGGCACUUCUCAAGGCGAAGGCCCUUCAAAAGGCAAGGGGAAGGGCAAGAAAACUGAUCAAAUUCCAACACCCGACGAAGAUGCUUGUUGUGUCGAAGGCGGUAGUGCUCGCUUUGAGAAGCAAAAAGUGAAGAAACUAGUGACGGAACGUGCCUAUGCGAUCACCCUUCCACAAUUCGCACCGUUGCACCAAGAAUUUCUACGACGAGGUUGGCAAGCAUUAUUGGAACCGGAGGGUUCGAUCAACCUAUCAUUGGUCCGCGAGUUCUACGCCAACAACCGUAUCCUCCUCGCAACGGAUCGGAACUCGAGCACGGUUCGAGGAAAGAAGGUCGAUUGGUGUGCCCACGCAAUCAACUCUUUUUAUCACCUCCGACACACGUCAUUCAAUUGGGAGCAAUUGCAACUUGCGGUCACACGAGAUCAAAUCGCCGAGGUGUUGUGCGAUGGACCCCCCAUUUGGUCCAACCUCUCAACCGAAGAAACGUACGAGUUGGAGUGGAAAUGCAUUCACCAAAUAGGCAAGGCGUGCCUUACGUUCAUUUUUGCCAACCUCAUUCCCACCCGCUCGUGGACUCACGUGGAUCCCGAACGGUGCGCCCUUGCUUACCACAUUCUCAAGGGCACACCGAUCAACAUUGGCGAAAUCAUAUCCGACCGAUUUUGGACCUCCAUGGUCAACAACUCCAAGGGGUUUUAUUUCCCUUGCCUAAUUACCGGCUUGUGCAAGAAGGCGAAGGUCCCAACCAAAACGACGGAUAUUCUCACCUCGAUUCGGAAGCCGAUGAGUAACCUUGCGGCCCGACAAUACAAGGCACCCAUCCAAGAUGGCGAGCAACCCGUCGAUGGCCAACCAAUAGCUCCACCCGAGGGUCCAAGUACAAGUUCGGACCGGCGAUUUCAAAGAAGAAUGGAGCGCGAGUUGGUGAUCACGAGAAAUCGGCUUGCCACGGUGGAGCACAAGGUGAGCACGAUCGAAUCCCUCCAACGAUGGUCGGGAAAGAUGCUCCAAGCCAUUGUGCGCCAUUUGGCUUGCGGCAAUCCCGAGUGCGCCGAACCGGUUCCGUUGCCCGCACCGAUUCUUGAGCCGGUACCCGAGCUUUCGGGUGAUGAAGGAGAUGGUGAUGCUCAUGCGCAAGGUGGAGUUGGUGAGCAACCCGACGAUGGUCCCGACGCUUAAAAACAGGUGUUUUCUAUCCUUAAACUCCGGGCGAAUCACAUUGAGGGCAAUGUGAAUUUUAAGUUUGGGGGUGGAUAACUACUUGUUUUCGUUUAUGUGCGCUUUAUUUGUGUUUUAUUUUUUUUUAUUUUAUUUUGCAUGCUUUAAUUUUUGUUUUAGUUGCCGUUUUAUUAUUUCCAUUUUUAUUAUAUAAAAAAAAAAUAAAAAAAAAACAUAUGUAAGUUGAAUGUGGGAUCGACAUCCGACUCUCACGAGUCUACUUUACUACUUGUUUGCGAUACGUACACUUGCGUGUUGGUAUUUAGCACCCAACAGUAAGUUGAAGCUUUCAUUUGCUCAUGAUAAGAACCUAAUUAUGUGUGCUUUAAUGUGACUUUUGCUACGUGUUCUCCAUGAUGUUUGAAUGAUUGAUGAGUCAUAGUGAUAUGAAAGAAUAUGUUUUGAAAAUGGGAGUAUGGUACUUGAUUGAUGGUCGAGUAGGCAAGGGACGCGGGAGGAACCGGCGGACCCAACGCAUGGUGGCAAAUACCUGAGGUCGAAAGACCAGUAUGGAAAACCCACAAUUAAAGAAAUGAAAUACGGCUAAUACCUGAGGUCCAAAGGCCGGUAUGGAAACCCCCCUAUUAUCUAUUGGCCAAAUGUGAUGAACAGGUUCUGAAAAUCACAGUCUAUUGCUAUCAAUCAAGUACCACACUUCAAGGGUACCCGAUAAAGAGAAGGAUUUCAAAGAAAAGGAUCAUGAAUGAAGUUAUAUGUGAUAUUGUACUUAUUGAAUGAAUAAUGCGUUAUGUGAUAUAUCGCUAUUACAUCAGUUUCAACUUGCUGAGCCAUUAGCUCAUUAGGUUCUUAUGAUGCAGGUAAUGAUGUACAUGUUUAGAAGUUGACCUAGCCAAGAGCGGCCAGUCACAGAUUUGUUCAUAUGCCAUGCUUCGAGCCAUUUUUGUAGCCGA